rnacentral:rRNA from 1 species
CGAGAACGUCACACCCGAUGCCAUCCCGAACACGGUAGUUAAGCUUCUCUGCGCCAAUGGUAGUUGGGGGCUUCCCCCUGCGAGAGUAGGUCGCUGCCGGGC